ACGUAGGUGGCGAGCGUUGUCCGGAAUUAUUGGGCGUAAAGCGCGCGCAGGUGGUUAUACAAGUCUCAUUUAAAAGUGCUGAGCUCAACUCAGUGAUGGGUUAGAAACUGUAUGACUUGAGUGCAGGAGGGGUAGGCGGAAUUCCUAGUGUAACGGUGAAAUGCCUAGAAAUUUAGAGGAACCCCAGUUGCCAAGGCGGCCCACUGGAAUUCAACCUACCCUUGGGCCCGAAAACCAGGGGAGCAAACGG
rnacentral:rRNA from 1 species